UAUGUGAUCGUCUCUCGCAUAUCAAUAAGCGGAGGAAAAGAAACUAACAAGGAUUCCCCUAGUAACGGCGAGUGAAGCGGGAAGAGCUCAAAUUUGAAAUCUUAAAGGGUUUCCCUUUACGAAUUGUAGUUUAAAGAAGUGUUUUCUGUUGAGGUUUUGGUAAAAGUUCUUUGGAAUAGGACAUCAUAGAGGGUGAGAAUCCCGUAUUUGACCUUUACUUUCAACUUUGUGAUACACUUUCAAAGAGUCGGAUUGUUUGGGAAUGCAGUCCAAAAUGGGUGGUAAAUUUCAUCUAAAGCUAAAUAUUGGCGAGAGACCGAUAGCGAACAAGUACCGUGAGGGAAAGAUGAAAAGAACUUUGAAAAGAGAGUUAAACAGUACGUGAAAUUGUCAAAAGGGAAGCGUUUGACACCAGUGUUGUUUUUCUGAAAAUCAAUUAAAGAACUGUUUAUGCUAAGCUGUUUAGACUUUAUCAGCUAACUGUUUAGUUUUGAGCUUUUCUUUAAUGCACUUUUCAGUUAACAAGUCAACAUCAAUUUCUUUUGCUGUAAAAAAGCUUGAGGAAGGUGGCUUGAGAUUCGUCUUAAGUGUUUAUAGCCUCUUGCCUAUGCAGUCGGAGAGAUUGAGGUCUGCAGCGUAGAUCCUUCGGGGCUAAAUGCAUUUGUGCUAAGUUAUAGCAUUUUAUAGACAACUUGUUGACUAUGAUUUGUCUUGUAGCUUACUCGCUUAUGUUAUUUUACCUACGCUUAGGAUGUUGAUAUCGCGCUCUCACUG
rnacentral:rRNA from 1 species